AUAAUUAUACAACAAAAGAAGAACGAGAUUAAAAUAUAUUUUCCGAUUUAUUUGAGGACCACAGCGUAUAAUUAUACCCUGCAGUAAUGGUUAACAUAGAACUUAGGAAUUUUACAGUUAAGUAGUUAUGAACUUUUUGUCACAAUAUCAUUUACUUGACAGAAAUAAAAUUUUAUUUUUAUUUUACAGCAACUGUGGAUUCCAGCCGAACUCCAUCCUGUACAGGAAGAAUAUUUGAAUUAAGGACAACACAUUUAUCAAACAUGGAAUAAUUCAAAUAGAUGCAAUUAUGUUUAUAAUCUACCGAGGAUAGUUCGUCUGUCUCAACUCCGUAUACCCCAUGUGAAAGAAGACGGAUUUAUGCUGUGACUAAUCUCAAUGCAAGUGCUGUAGAUGAGAGUACUUCCACUGUGUGCUGUUCCUGUAACGUGUACCUCCACUACACAACCUGCCAGCAGAAACCUACGCAAUGCACCCCAGAUGGUUGCCACGGAUGGCUCCUCCGUGGGCAGGAUGUACUUCACAUGGAUCUUUCCGUGCAGUGUAUAGCAUACUACUACACAAGUGUUUUCCCAUAUAUGCAUUCAGACCUUGUAUGGCUCACCUCUCACAGUGUCACCUCCGUAGUAUGCCCAACAUUGCUGCCUCAUUUGGUACACUUGUGGAUGGGAUGAAAAAUACAUGGACCUGACGGCUUUGUUGGGAUCGUACUUUGAGCAUUAGGAUGCUGCAAUCACCCCAUUU